rnacentral:tRNA from 1 species
GUCCCUGUAGCUCAGCUGGACAGAGCAGCUGCCUUCUAAGCAGCGGGUCGCGAGUUCGAAUCUCGCCAGGGACG